rnacentral:rRNA from 1 species
CAAUAGCGUAUAUUAAAGUUGUUGCAGUUAAAAAGCUCGUAGUUGGAUCUCAGGUCCCGGCUCGCGGUUCACCUCGCGGUGCUUACUGCCCGUCCGGACCUACCCGCCGGUUCUGUCUUGGUGCUCUUCACUGAGUGUCUCGAUUGGCCGGAACGUUUACUUUGAAAAAAUUAGAGUGUUCAAAGCAGGCGCUUCGCCUGGAUAAUGGUGCAUGGAAUAAUGGAAUAGGACCUCGGUUCUAUUGUGUUGGUUUUCGGAGCUCGAGGUAAUGAUUAAGAGGGACAGACGGGGGCAUUCGUAUUACGGUGUUAGAGGUGAAAUUCUUGGAUCGCCGUAAGACGAACUACUGCGAAAGCAUUUGCCAAGAAUGUUUUCAUUAAUCAAGAACGAAAGUCAGAGGUU